ensembl:snRNA U1 U1 spliceosomal RNA
AAACUUACCUGGCUGAGGAAAUAUCUUGAUCAGGAAGCUGUUUCUCCCAUGGCAAGGUUUACUUCUGCACUCUGUAGGAAAGACUUCUGCCAUUUUCCAAGUAUGAGAAACUCAGUUGCAGGAGCUGUGGAAAGAAACAAUAUUCUCU